rnacentral:rRNA from 1 species
CCGGUUGAUCCUGCCAGAGGCUACUGCUAUCGGGGUCCGACUAAGCCAUGCGAGUUGAGAGGGGUAAGCCCUCGGCAUAUUGCUCAGUAACACGCGGAUAACCUGCCCUUGGGUUUGGGAUAACCCCGGGAAACUGGGACUAAUACCGGAUAGAUCAUAGAAACUGGAAUGUUCUUUGAUCGAAAGCUCCGGCGCCCAAGGAUGGGUCUGCGGCCUAUCAGGUAGUAGUGGGUGUAACGUACCUACUAGCCUACGACGGGUAAGGGUUGUGAGAGCAAGAGCCCUGAGAUGGAUUCUGAGACAUGAAUCCAGGCCCUACGGGGUGCAGCAGGCGCGAAAACUUUACACUGCGGGAAACCGCGAUAAGGGGACCCCGAGUGCCAGCACCUAGUGCUGGCUGUCCAGCUGUCCAAAUAACAGUUGUUAGCAAGGGCCGGGCAAGACCGGUGCCAGCCGCCGCGGUAAUACCCGCAGCACAAGUGGUGGUCAUUAUUAUUGGGCCUAAAGCGUCCGUAGCAGGCUUGUUAGAUGCCUGGGUAAAUCGAUGCGCUCAACGCAUCGACUUCCGGGUAGACCGGCAAGCUCGAGACCGGGAGAGGCGUGGGCUACUCGAGGGGUAGGGGUAAAAUCCUGUAAUCCUUCGGGGAGGACCAGUGGCGAAGGCGCCACGCUAGAACGGCUCUGACUGUGAGGGACGAAGCCCUGGGGCGCAAACCGGAUUAGAUACCCGGGUAGUCCAGGGUGUAAACGCUGCAGACUUGGUGUCGCUGGUCCUACGAGGGCUGGCGGUGCCGGAGAGAAGUUGUUGAGUCUGCCGCCUGGGGAGUACGGUCGCAAGACUGAAACUUAAAGGAAUUGGCGGGGGAGCACCGCAACGCGUGGAGUGUGCGGUUUAAUUGGAUUCAACGCCGGG